rnacentral:snRNA from 1 species
AUACUUACCUGGCGUAGGGAUACCGUGAUCAUGCAGGCGGUUCCCCCAGGGUGAGGCUGCUCCAUUGCACUGCAGAGUGGUUGGUGGUUGACCCUUGCGAUUAUUCUAAUUUUUUGUAUAAAUUUCACUUCUACCGUGUGUGACUUGCACACACA